UACGGGGGGGGCAAGCGUUGUUCGGAAUUACUGGGCGUAAAGCGUGCGCAGGCGGCGCCGCAAGUCAGGCGUGAAAUCCCCGAGCUUAACUUGGGAAUGGCGCUUGAAACUACGGUGCUGGAGUGUGGCAGAGGGAGGUGGAAUUCCACGUGUAGCGGUGAAAUGCGUAGAGAUGUGGAGGAACACCGAUGGCGAAGGCAGCCUCCUGGGCCAACACUGACGCUCAUGCACGAAAGCGUGGGGAGCAAACAGG
rnacentral:rRNA from 1 species